AGGAUGUUGGCUUAGAAGCAGCCAUCAUUUAAAGAAAGCGUAAUAGCUCACUAGUCGAGUCGGCCUGCGCGGAAGAUGUAACGGGGCUGAAAUAUAGCACCGAAGCUGCGGCAUCAGGCGUAUCACUAAUACGCCUUACGAUUAACAACCCGAACGUUGAGUCGGGCAUCUUAGAGUGAGGAUGAUUAGUGAUACGCCUGUUGGGUAGGGGAGCGUUGUGUAAGCGGAAGAAGGUUCAUCGAGAGGUGGGCUGGACGUAUCACAAGUGCGAAUGCUGACAUAAGUAACGAUAAAACGGGUGAAAAACCCGUUCGCCGGAAGACCAAGGGUUCCUGUCCAACGUUAAUCGGGGCAGGGUGAGUCGGCUCCUAAGGCGAGGCUGAAAAGCGUAGUCGAUGGGAAACAGGUUAAUAUUCCUGUACUUGGUAAAGCUGCGAUGUGGGGACGGAGUAGGUUAGGUUAUCGCACUGUUGGAUAUGUGCGUUUAAGUUGGUAGGUGGGAAGUUUAGGCAAAUCCGGACUUCCUUAACACAGAGAGAUGAUGACGAGGCUCUACGGAGCUGAAGUAACUGAUACCACACUUCCAGGAAAAGCCACUAAGCGAAAGGCUUUACUAAACCGUACUGAAAACCGACACAGGUGGUCAGGUAGAGAAUACUCAGGCGCUUGAGAGAACUCGGGUGAAGGAACUAGGCAAAAUAGCACCGUAACUUCGGGAGAAGGUGCGCCGGCGUAGAUUGUAGUCCCUAGCGGGCGAAGGUUGAACCGGUCGAAGAUACCAGCUGGCUGCAACUGUUUAUUAAAAACACAGCACUCUGCAAACACGAAAGUGGACGUAUAGGGUGUGAUGCCUGCCCGGUGCUGGAAGGUUAAUUGAUGGUGUCAUCGCAAGAGAAGCACCUGAUCGAAGCCCCAGUAAACGGCGGCCGUAACUAUAACGGUCCUAAGGUAGCGAAAUUCCUUGUCGGGUAAGUUCCGACCUGCACGAAUGGCAUAAUGAUGGCCAGGCUGUCUCCACCCGAGACUCAGUGAAAUUGAAAUCGCCGUGAAGAUGCGGUGUACCCGCGGCUAGACGGAAAGACCCCGUGAACCUUUACUAUAGCUUGACACUGAACAUUGAAUUUUGAUGUGUAGGAUAGGUGGGAGACUAAGAAGUAGUCACGCCAGUGAUUAUGGAGUCAUCCUUGAAAUACCACCCUUUAACGUUUGAUGUUCUAACGAAGAUUGCGGAACGCGGUCUCGGACAGUGUCUGGUGGGUAGUUUGACUGGGGCGGUCUCCUCCCAAAGCGUAACGGAGGAGCACGAAGGUUUGCUAAUCACGGUCGGACAUCGUGAGGUUAGUGCAAUGGUAUAAGCAAGCUUAACUGCGAGACAGACAAGUCG
rnacentral:rRNA from 1 species